UCCUACGGGGGGCAGCAGUGGGGAAUAUUGCACAAUGGGGGAAACCCUGAUGCAGCGACGCCGCGUGAGUGAGGAAGUAUUUCGGUAUGUAAAGCUCUAUCAGCAGGGAAGAGAAUGACGGUACCUGACUAAGAAGCCCCGGCUAACUACGUGCCAGCAGCCGCGGUAAUACGUAGGGGGCAAGCGUUAUCCGGAUUUACUGGGUGUAAAGGGAGCGUAGACGGUGCAGCAAGUCUGAUGUGAAAGGUCGGGGCCCAACCCCGGGACUGCAUUGGAAACUGUUGAAUUGGAGUACAGGAGAGGUA
rnacentral:rRNA from 1 species